GCGUAAGCGCGCGCAGGUGGUUUCUUAAGUCUGAUGUGAAAGCCCACGGCUCUACCGUGGAGGGUCAUUGGAAACUGGGAGACUUGAGUGCCUUAGAGGAAAGUGGAAUUCCAUGUGUAGCGGUGAAAUGCGUAGAGAUAUGGAGGAACACCAGUGGCGAAGGCGACUUUCUGGUCUGUAACUGACACUGAGGCGCGAAAGCGUGGGGAGCAAACAGGAUUAGAUACCCUGGUAGUCCACGCCGUAAACGAUGAGUGCUAAGUGUUAGAGGGUUUCCGCCCUUUAGUGCUGAAGUUAACGCAUUAAGCACUCCGCCUGGGGAGUACGGCCGCAAGGCUGAAACUCAAAGGAAUUGACGGGGGCCCGCACCAGCGGUGGAGCAUGUGGUUU
rnacentral:rRNA from 1 species